UUUAAAGUGCCGAUGAAAGUGGUUACAGCUCACUCAAGCAGCUUUGUGAGAGCGCUCCCAGGUUUCUGGGGGUAGCUCCCAGCUGGGAGGUGCUGAUGGACGCCUGUGCAGAAGAACAUCUUGAGCCAGCUCAGCCCGGAGUGCUGGAUGAGGAUGUCUGUCACUGGACAGCUAAUCCAGCAGAGAGAAUGUGACCAAAACAGCUUCUCCAACAGUCCACUGAACCAGAUAAAGGAUUUUGCUCCUGAAAAGCUCUUCCUGUUGGCCACAUUCUAAUAGGAUCUGACACAGCUCUGCAGGUACAGCUGAACCCAAUCAUCCUGACAAUACCUGAGAUACACAGGAAAGACCGCAGAACUUGGAGUAGCUGAGGCAUUACCUUCUUUUGUUCAUAUGAAAAUGAGUAUGGAGCAAAACAUCAUCCAUCCACCUAAAAAACCAACAUCCAUCUAAUUCCAACUCCCAGCAAAGCCCUGGGGCAUGCAACAGCAUGGUACCAAAGGGAUUACCAGCGGCUCAGACCUACAGACAAGAUGCACAGACUACAGCAGAUGAUGUCUUGCUGCUCUGCUUAUCCCAAAGGUAUGCUUGGGCGAAUUCAGAAGCUGCUGCUUGGAUGCACUCAUUUUAAAGUUGUGAUUUUUGGAACAUUAAGAAAAACCCCAAGCUGGUUCAGACUGCUCUUGUGUUGUUCUAAGUCCAACUCAUCAUUUCAUCCUUGCCGGAAAUGAGAGACAAGCAGAGGUGAAAGCCUAGGGCGGCGUUCUAGCGUUAAUCACAACACCUUUGGGAGCAAAUAUUAGCACAUCAAUUGAACACAGUGAGUGAGAGGAGCUGGGAAACAUCCACCUACUCUUCGGCAUAGCAUUCUCAGCAACAUUUUCCUCCUCCAGCUCUAAACUCUUAACACAUAGGGUGUCUA